GCCAGGGUAGCUCAGUUGGUUAGAGCAUGGGAUUCAUAAACCCAAGGUCGAGAGUCCGAAUCUCUCCCCUGGUA
rnacentral:tRNA from 1 species